CUCUCCUCUCUCCUUAACCUCAUUCUUGCAUAGCUUUUCUGUGAAAGGUAGAAUUCAUCUUCUACAAUGCAUCUUUAGCAGAGAGUGCUGGGCAUGACCCUUCCUUUGCACUGAUCCCCAGGUCCGCUUACAUGCCACACCCAGUUCUGGAAAGAAUCUGAGACAGGAAAGCAGACUUCAGACUUGCCAGUUUCUUGGUUUUACCUGUCUCUGGAAUCUGCCUGGCAGCAGGUUGUAGUGACACAUGACUAAACCAGGCAGGGUCACUCCUGGUGAACUGGGCUGGCAUGAAAUAAUGACACACAGACAGAGAAAUACCUUUUUCGUUGGGUUGUGUGAUGGCCCCUCUGACCCAGCUCCCACAAAGGAGGCAAGGCAGGUAAGAAUGAUAAGGAGCAGGCCUCGAACCUGGGUUUUAUUAAUGGGGGAAGUUAAUCCAUGGAACAUUCUAUCAAAAAAUGGGCAAAAGGGUAGGAUUGCAACAAAUAGGUGGGUGUAAUUCAAUCCCAUUGGGUGACACCCACUCCCAGAGCUGCACCUUUCUAUCCAAGCAGAGGCAGGUCCACAUGCAUUGCAAUGUGUGUGAUGCCAGUCCAGUACCUCCUCGCUCAGUACUGAGGUAUUUGGAAGAGGCAGAAGUAGGAGAAAGCAAAAUUUUAUGAGGAAGACUGAGUUUAGCUACCAAAGCAAAAAAGAAAAAGCUAUAAAUAUUAUGCUCAAAGCCAGUAGACAGACCAGCUCUUAUUCCUAUGACCUCAAAAUAGGACAGCAACUCCUGUUCAGGGUGGCCCCCAGCAGCAGGUCACUGUUAACUGAAGGUUGUGUGAUCCAGAGACAUGUUUAAAUUGGAAGGAGGGCUGAGGAUAUAGCUCAGUUGGUAGAGUACCUACCUUGCAUGCACAAGGUCCUGGGUUCAAUCCCCAGGACCGCAAAAAACAAAACAAAAAACCCCAAACCAACCAAACAAAAAAACAAAUUGGAGGGAGCUUAAGGGACAUAGCCAGCACAGUCACAGCAUGUCUAGCUACAGCACAGGGAGAAUUCAGCAUGGAUGGGGACUGAUCCCACAGUCUAGGUGGUCCUGGAGGACAUCACUUGGAGACUUGUCUCUGAUAUGUCUCCUCAUUGUCAGCCACAAAUGCUAUACAGGUUCUUCCACUCUUGGGUAAGCAGAUCCUGGUCUUGAUUUUUCCCAGUGAGGGCAGGGCCUGUGUCCUCUUCAUUCCUGGGCUACUUUUUAAAGUCCCCAUGAGCAUUCCCCCUUUGAGCAGAGAUCAUGCUCAAGUGUGGAAAGGAUUGCUCCUCAGCUUGUCCAGCCUACGGUGCCCCACAUUGAGCCAGGUACUCAUACAGGCUCUGACCCCAGGAUGCGGGCAUGAGAACAGACAAGACAGUGGCUAUGUCCCCCACUCUGCCUAGUUUUCUCAUCACUCUAGACAAGGUGUCCCAGGUCAUGUUGGGAGCCAUGUAGGCCUGAAGGUUGACUUCACUGAUGGAGUGUUUCCAGGACAUUUCAGAACUCCUGGCUCUUGUGCAUGUGCCCAGGGACUGUUUGUAAAUGAGUGAGUAUAUUAGGCCAGCUAACUCCUCUGCAAGGGAAAAACUAGGUAAGGAAGGCCAUGUCUUCCUCCUCUUUGGAUUCUACAAUUAAAUACUCAGAACUUAUUCCACUAGCCGUAUUUCAAGUGCUAACAUGUGUGCAUGUGUUGGAUUCAUAAUGGACAGUGAACACUCCUUUUAUGUUAUGGGUACCUGCUCUUGAGUUGGGCACAGGGCCUGUUCACUGGGUUCAUAACUACAAAAUGUGUUUGCCAUGGCCAUUAAUUCAGAAAACUGGUGAGGGGUGAUGGGAGAUGAAGAAAAGACAAACAUACACACACAGAGAAAAAGUUGGGGCCAGAAAAAGCUGAUGGAGUUUGACCCAGAGCCAGGACAGCACAUUUAUCAUAUAGGUUUCAUCAAAAGGUUAUUUGUGGGAAGUUUCUGCAGAGCAGGCAAUCUGAAGGACAUAGGAAUGGUGAGACAUUAGGGUUAUAUUGUUAUGUUCAGAUUUCUCCUGGGUGUUCGUGCCUGAACUCAAGUUUCCGACUAGAUAAAGCUCCACACCUUUGCACAUAACGUCCUCUGGCUGCCGUCAUCUUGACCUAUACCAUCACACAGGAAGUUCCCAGCGUAAACACAGCCAGGUUUCAAAUCACUACUCUCACAUGGGUUCAUCACGGUUGCAAUUCCAGGUUGAUAUGUGUGGAGAAGAGAGCAAUUUGGGCCCGUGAUUCCUUCAACUCCUCUCUUUCCCUUGAAGGCUGGUGACUGGUUGCAGUGCCUUGUUGACUGACUCCACCAAACCCAGGGAGAGUCUGAAAACACAGAACAGAUCCUGGUGAUCCUGUGUGAUUUAGGAGUGGAUCAUCAGCAGAAGAUUGGAUUUGAGCAGUGAGGAUGAAAUCUGCAGGCCACACGAUUAUCAUCGCUGCCCUUGUGCAUGGGGAAGUCUGUUUCACAGAUCCUGAGGAUGAGGAUAAUGGCACCAGCAUCAGCAUGUAAUUUUUUUCCUCUUUGUGUCUAUUUCUUAUCUAUAAACUCAUCUUUUCUGCCCUUCCUAAUUCCCUCUUUGCCACUUUUUAUGCCUUUUCCUGAAGGCGCUGGUCUUAUCAGAUACCUGAGGUCCGUGGGUCUUCAGUGUUUGCUACAUUUCUCUGUAGCACUCCUUCAUCUCCUUCUUAGCUGUGCCCUGGUUCUUCACCUGGUUGUGCUGAGCAACCCUGCACAGCCAGGCAGGAUGCUGGGGUUGGAGUAGAGAAGCUAGGUUCCUUCUUGCUGGAGGGGGCCUGGAGAUACCUGUGGCUGUGCUCUGGGCACCCGACACCUCAGUUCUUCUGCCCUGGGUGACUCUGUCUAGAUUAUGCAAUUAAAAAAUAAUUCUUCCCCAACAGGCAGCUAGUUCCAGGAAUCCUAUCCUGAAUUGAAAAGAAAGGAUCAAGGAACUCAAAGGGGAUGAAGAGGAGGAAGUGUGAGUGUGGAGAGAGCAGGAGGGGGAGCGGGAGUGAAUGAGUGAGCACAUUCUCCAUUGCUUCCUAGAUGUCUUCCCCCCACCCUUUUUUUUGUUUUGCCCUAUUGAAUCAAUAUUUAUUUCAAAACCUACCAUGUCAAAAUGAAACAAAAGGGUCACUCCUCGCUCUUAUCAAUGGUAUUGUGUUAUAAUAGCACUUUACAACUCCCUCCCAUUUUUCAGUGUAAUUAUAGGUAUGUGUGAUGCUUACCUGAAAGCACUGCUCUAUUCAGAUCCACAACCCAAGCACUCUCUGAACACUACAAUAAGGGAGAAGGGAGGAGGAGGAGGAGGGGGUGGAGUGAGCAAUCAGGUCAGGAAGUAUGAAGUUAUAUUUUGCCAUGAGGACAAAGCUCUGAACAGAUUUAACCAAAUAUAUAAAAAUUGAGAGUAUAAAAGGAAAAUAGAGAAACAAAUAUCAUCAAAGAAAACAAUUAAUAGAAGCUUAAAUAUAAAACUAAGUCAGUUCUUUACUAACCAAACUAUACAGAGCUAAUAAAAAGCAAAAUCAGCCUGAAGUAUUUAAACAUUUUAAAGACUAAAAAAUAAGACAGUAAUUUGCAUGAUAUUGGCAUUAUUUCCUUUCUCUUCUUUCCCUUUUCAGUGUUUUCAUCUGCCUGCAGGGGCAUACAAGAAAUUAUUUGUAUUUGACCUCAAAUGUCUAGAGUAGAGUGUUUGCUAUUCUGUGAGUUUCUUGUGUUGGUAAGUUUAGAUAUCAUUAUGUCUGCUAGUUAUAGUACUGACCAUGCUGUCAAACUCAAAUUCUUCCACUGGUUCUCCUUAAGGAAAUUUGACUUUUACAAUCCCUUGCCUGCCUAUUACUUGUUUUUUUGGUACCAGGGGCAGAAAUGUCUAAUUUGAUGCUGUCCCACUUAUUGAUUUUUGGUUUUACUUCCUGAACUUCAGGGGUCUUAUUAAGGAAGUUGGUGCCUGUGCCAAUAUGUCACAGUAUUUAACCUGUUUUCUUAUAGCAAUCACAGUGUUUCUGAUCUAAUUCUUAGGUCUUUUAUCCGCUUUGAAUUUUUGUGUGAGUUGAGACAGGAAUCUAGUUUAUUCUUCUACAUAUGGCUACCUGUCCCCCCUGCCCCCUGCCCUUUAUUCCAGUACCAUUUGUAAAACAACUCUCUUUUCUUCAGCAUGAGUUUUUGGCACUUUUGUCAAGGAUCAGAUGUCUACAUAUGGCUACCUGUCCCCCCUGCCCCCUGCCCUUUAUUCUAGUACCAUUUGUAAAAUAACUCUCUUUUCUUCAGCAUGAGUUUUUGGCACUUUUGUCAAGGAUCAGAUGACUGUGUCUGUGGACUUGUCUCUCCGUCUUCUGUUCUACUCCAUUGGUCUUCAUGUU